rnacentral:rRNA from 2 species
GCAGUCGAGCGGAUCGAUGGGAGCUUGCUCCCUGAAAUCAGCGAGCGGACGGGUGAGUAACACGUGGGUAACCUGCCUGUCGACUGGGAUAACUCCGGGAAACCGGGGCUAAUACCGGAUAACUCAAUUCCUCGCAUGAGGAACUGUUGAAAGGUGGCUUUUCCCUACCACUUGCGGAGGGACCCCCGGCGCAUUGGCUAAUUGGUGAGGUAAGGGCUCACCCGGGCACCAAUGGAUAGCCAACCUGAAAGGGUGAUCGCCCACACUGGGCCUGAACCCCGGCCCAAACCCCUACGGGGGGAUUUUCUAGGGAAUCUUCCCCACUGAACGAACGUCUGACGGAGAACCACCACGGGAUUGAGAAAGGUUUUCGGAUCUGACAACUCUGUUGUUAGGGAGAACCAAUUGCCGUUCAAAUUGGCGGGCCCUUUGACGGAACCUACCCAAAACUCCACGCCAACCUCCGUGCCACCACCCGCGUGAAUACCUAGGUGCCAAUUUUUUGCCGGUAUAAUGGGCGCAAAAGGCCGCGCAGGUGUGUUCUUAAAUCUGAUGUCACAGCCCAGGCUUCACCCGUGAAGGGUCUUUGUAGACUGCGGAACUUGAUUGCAGAAAAGCACGUUGAAUUUCGAAGUGUAGCGAUAAGUGGCGUAGAUUUUGGGAGGACCGCGGCUGUCGAGGGCUGACUACUGAGGUCUGUACUGACACUGGUGGCGCAAAAGCGUGGGUAGCAUACCAGGAUAGUAUACCCCUGUAGUCCACGACUGUAAACGAGUAGUGCUAUUUGUACAGGGUUUGCCGCCCUAUAAGGCAUGCAGCUAAUCCGAUUAGGCACUCCGCUGGGAAGUACGGUCUCAGACUGAAUCUCAGAGGGACUGGACAGGGGCCGGGACCAGCGGGUGAUAUGGAGGCUUCACUACGGAGCAUCGCGAGGAUCGUAACUCAGGUCUUAGGACAUCCUCUGACAGCCUUAGCCAAUCGGGCUUCCUUCGGGGGG